UACGGAGGGGGCGAGCGUUAUUCGGAAUCAUUGGGCGUAAAGGGCGCGUAGGCGGCCCCGUAAGUCUUGGGUGAAAGCCCUCGGCUCAACCGAGGAAUUGCCUUGGAUACUGCGGGGCUCGAGGCUGGAAGAGGACAGUGGAAUUCCUGGUGUAGCGGUGAAAUGCGCAGAUAUCAGGAAGAACACCCGUGGCGAAGGCGGCUCUCUGGGACGGUACUGACGCUGAGACGCGAAAGCGUGGGGAGCGAACAGG
rnacentral:rRNA from 1 species